AACGAACGCUGGCGGCAGGCCUAAUACAUGCAAGUCGAACGCACCGCAAGGUGAGUGGCAGACGGGUGAGUAACGCGUGGGAACCUUCCUAGUAGUACGGAAUAACUCCGGGAAACCGGUGCUAAUACCGUAUAAGCCCUCCGGGGGAAGAUUUAUCGCUACUAGAUGGGCCCGCGUCGGAUUAGCUUGUUGGUGAGGUAAUGGCUCACCAAGGCUUCGAUCCGUAGCUGGUCUGAGAGGAUGAUCAGCCACACUGGGACUGAGACACGGCCCAGACUCCUACGGGAGGCAGCAGUAGGGAAUAUUGGACAAUGGGCGAAAGCCUGAUCCAGCCAUGCCGCGUGAGUGA
rnacentral:rRNA from 1 species